rnacentral:rRNA from 1 species
ACGGGAGGCAGCAGUGAGGAAUAUUGGUCAAUGGGCGAGAGCCUGAACCAGCCAUGUCGCGUGGAGGAAUAAGGAUCUAUGGUUCGUAAACUCCUUUUGCGGGGGGAUAAAGUGCGGGACGCGUCCCGUUUUGUAGGUACCCCGCGAAUAAGCAUCGGCUAACUCCGUGCCAGCAGCCGCGGUAAUACGGAGGAUGCGAGCGUUAUCCGGAUUUAUUGGGUUUAAAGGGAGCGUAGGCGGGAAGUCAAGUCAGCUGUGAAAUGUAGUCGCUCAACGUCUGCACUGCAGUUGAAACUGGUUUUCUUGAGUGCGUAAGAGGCAGGUGGAAUUUGUCGUGUAGCGGUGAAAUGCUUAGAUAUGACGAAGAACUCCGAUUGCGAAGGCAGCCUGCUGGGCCGCAACUGACGCUGAAGCUCGAAGGUGCGGGUAUCAAACAGGAUUAGAUACCCUGGUA